ACUGAUCGGCCACAUGGGACUGAGACACGGCCCAAACUCCUACGGGAAGCUGCAGUAGGGAUCUUCCACAAUGGGCGAAAGCCUGAUGGAGCAACGCCGCGUGUGUGAUGAAGGCUUUCGGGUCGUAAAGCACUGUUGUAUGGGAAGAACAGCUAGAAUAGGAAAUGAUUUUAGUUUGACGGUACCAUACCAGAAAGGGACGGCUAAAUACGUGCCAGCAGCCGCGGUAAUACGUAUGUCCCGAGCGUUAUCCGGAUUUAUUGGGCGUAAAGCGAGCGCAGACGGUUUAUUAAGUCUGAUGUGAAAGCCCGGAGCUCAACUCCGGAAUGGCAUUGGAAACUGGUUAACUUGAGUGCAGUAGAGGUAAGUGGAACUCCAUGUGUAGCGGUGGAAUGCGUAGAUAUAUGGAAGAACACCAGUGGCGAAGGCGGCUUACUGGACUGCAACUGACGUUGAGGCUCGAAAGUGUGGGUAGCAAACAGGAUUAGAUACCCUGGUAGUCCACACCGUAAACGAUGAACACUAGGUGUUAGGAGGUUUCCGCCUCUUAGUGCCGAAGCUAACGCAUUAAGUGUUCCGCCUGGGGAGUACGACCGCAAGGUUGAAACUCAAAGGAAUUGACGGGGACCCGCACAAGCGGUGGAGCAUGUGGUUUAAUUCGAAGCAACGCGAAGAACCUUACCAGGUCUUGACAUCCUUUGAAGCUUUUAGAGAUAGAAGUGUUCUCUUCGGAGACAAAGUGACAGGUGGUGCAUGGUCGUCGUCAGCUCGUGUCGUGAGAUGUUGGGUUAAGUCCCGCAACGAGCGCAACCCUUAUUGUUAGUUGCCAGCAUUCAGAUGGGCACUCUAGCGAGACUGCCGGUGACAAACCGGAGGAAGGCGGGGACGACGUCAGAUCAUCAUGCCCCUUAUGACCUGGGCUACACACGUGCUACAAUGGCGUAUACAACGAGUUGCCAACCCGCGAGGGUGAGCUAAUCUCUUAAAGUACGUCUCAGUUCGGAUUGUAGUCUGCAACUCGACUACAUGAAGUCGGAAUCGCUAGUAAUCGCGGAUCAGCACGCCGCGGUGAAUACGUUCCCGGGUCUUGUACACACCGCCCGUCACACCAUGGGAGUUUGUAAUGCCCAAAGCCGGUGGCCUAACCUUUAGGAAGGAGCCGUCUAAGG
rnacentral:rRNA from 1 species